rnacentral:lncRNA from 1 species
GAGUGUGAUCUCGUAAGCAUGUGUAGGUGUGUGUGCAAGAGCCUUGUGUUGCAAGCAUGUGUGAGUGUGUAUGGUGAUGUCCUAUGACACACAUACAUGAGGUACAACCCUCAUGUUCACCAUUGGAGUUGUGGGUGUGUGCAAGUGCAUGUGUAGGUCAAUAAUAGAGAGUACCACAUGUGAUAUGGCACUAUUUGGCACUUUAAGAUUCUAUGUUGUUUUUCCUUUCAACUUUGUGCCUACAUGUUGUAUGCAAGUACCUGGGUAUUAUAUAUGUUUUUGGGGUAGAAUCUUCCCAGAAAUCCAUUGGUGGAAUCAGAUUUCACUUUGGGACAAUUUCUGGAAAUGUCAUUUUUCUGUCUUGAUGCUAUGUUUAGAGCUUGGUGCCAUGUGGUGUGAUGAGCCUAUGAGGAUGAUUCCUUGAUGUGGCAGUAGUGGGUGAACUUCUCUACAACAUGGUAGUUUUGUUUAUGCUUAGGAGUUUGUAUGUGCAAGUUGUGCCUUGUCAAAAAUAACAUGUGGCUGAAAUUGUCAGCUUGGUGAAAAUCUAUGAUCUUCACUAAGUCUAAGAAACUGAUGUUAUUUUCUUCCCUUGUAGUUGUGGUUGCAAAAGCUCAUGUGUUGGUAAUCAGCCCUUGCAAUCAACUAGAGAGUUGGAGAUUUUGUGUUUGUCUAGCUCUCUGUUAAAUUUCAUGCACUUUCACUUCCUAUAGAUAUUGAUUUGGGGGCUGUCAAAAUGCUUCCGAGCAUAAGCAGCUGGUGAGAAUCUGAGAUUUUCGCUAAGUCCCUGAAAUCUGUUAUUUUUGUCCUUAGCACUUGUAGAUCUUUAUGUGUGUAACUCCUUUGUAUUAUCUUCUUGCUCAUGCCUGAAGAGAUUUUGAAUAGCUUUUACCACAUAUCUUGUUUGGCACAUUUGGGUGGUUGUAGGUGCUUUGCAUGUUGCUCACAAACUGCUAUGAUGCUGUUUAGGACAUAUUGUAUAGUUUUGUUGUUUUGGAGCUUGUGAGUGCAUAGUUGGUGGUGUGGUGAGUUUCUUUGCACCACCCCACCUAUACUUGUUCGUUUGAUCAUGUGGCUACCUGGGGAUACCAGAAGUGUGCCAUUGGAGUGUGCUUGUGAUGGAUUNNNNNNNNNNAUAUCUUGUUCCGUAGUUUCCGGUUGAUCCGUAGCUCCGUUCGCUACGUUUUUUAUACGUCUUUACAUUGUUUUCUCGUGAUGCACCUGUUCAUGUCAUAUUCACGCAUAUCAAGAUAGCUUAGAGAGAAGUUCUGCCCAGAAGUUUAUCUUCUCUUCUCAUGCAUAUGCAAGUGACUAGAUUAGAGAUGCAUGCUUCAUUCUCAUCUCAUGCAUCAUGUGUUUAAUACAUCAUGUUGUGUUGUUGUUCAUUGGCUGUUAUUUUUAUCUUGGAUAGCACCAGGAUAGGAGAGCGAGUUUGUGGAUUCGGGAGAGUACGUGCAGGACGAACAAGAGCAGUUCCAAGCUGAAGACAUCACACAGGCAAGAUGACCGUGACCUUGAUACCGUAACUAGCUUUGUGAUGCUUAGAUUCAUGUUUCCUUCAUCAUAUGAUCGUUGCCUACCACUUGAUAUAAUUGCCUCCUGAUAUUGCCAUGAAACCCAAACACCUUCCCCUCCUAGCUAAUGUUGAAUGGCUAAGUAGGCUUGCUCAGAUUCUAAUGAUAGCUUUGCUAGUUGCACGUGCCAACUGUCUCAUGUGAUAACAUGAGUUUUGAUAUCAUUAUGUUUUAAACUACUAUCUAUUUAAUGCACCUAUAUACUUGCUAAAUGACGGAAGGCCUAGCCUUUUGCCAGGAGAUUUGUUUCGUUAUUGCUGCCUUAGUUUCCGGCUACCGGUGUUUGAUUCCAUAACUGAUCGCUCCUNNNNNNNNNNNNNNNNNNNNNNNNNNNNNNNNNNNNNNNNNNNNNNNNNNNNNNNNNNNNNNNNNNNNNNNNNNNNNNNNNNNNNNNNNNNNNNNNNNNNAACGAAGUAAUAGUGAAUCUAAGCAUAAGAAAGCUAGUUACGGUAUCAAGGUCACGGUCAUCUUGCCUGUGAUGUCUUGAGCUUGGAACUGCUCUUGCUCGUCCUGCACGUACUCUCCCGAAUCCACGAACUCACUCUCCGAUCCCGGUGCUACCCAAGAUAAAAAUAACAGCCACGGAACAACAACACAACAUGAUGCAACAACCACAUGAUGCAUGAGAUGAGAAUGAAGCAUGCAUCUCUAAUCUAGUCACUUGCAUAUGCAUGAGAAGAGAAGAUAAACUUCUGGACAGAAAUUCUCUCUAAGCUAUCUUGACAUGCAUGAAGAUGACAUGAACAGGUUCAUCAUGAGAAAAAGAUGCAAAAACAUAUAAAGAACGUAGCGAAUGGAGCUACGGAUCAACCAGAAACUACGAAACAAGAUACGGAGUCCUACGGAUCAAAUCCAUCACAAGCACACUCCAAUGGCACACUNNNNNNNNNNUGCCACAUGAUAUACAAACAAGUAUAGGUGCGGUGGUGCAAAGAAACUCACCACACCACCAACUACGCACUCACAAGCUCCAAAAAACAAAACUAUGCAAUCUGUUCUAAACAGCAUCAUAGCAGUUUGUGAGCAACAUGCAAAGCACCUACAACCACCCAAAUGUGCCAAACAAGAUAUGUGGCAAAAGCUAUUCAAAAGCUCUACAGGCAUGACCAAGAAGUUAACACAAAGGAGUUACAUACAGAAACAUCUACAGGUGCUAACUUGGACAAAAAUAACAGAUUUCAGGAACUUAGUGAAAAUCUCAGAUUCUCACCAGCUGCUUAUGCUCUGAAGCAUUUUGACAGCCCCCAAAACAAUAUCUACAGGAAGUGAAAGUGCAUGAAAUUUAACGCAGACCUAGAUAAACACAAAAGCUCCAACUCUCUAGUUGAUUGCAAGGGCUGAUUCCCAACACAUGAGCUUUUGCAACCACAACUACAAGGGAAGAAAAUAACAGCAGUUUCUCACACUUGCUGAAAAUCACAUAUUUUCACCAAGCUGACAAUUUCAGCCACAUGUCAUUUUUGACAAGGCACAACUUGCACAUACAAACUCCUAAGCAUAAAACAACACUACCAUGUUGUAUAGGGGUUCACCCACUACUGCCACAUCAAGGAAUCAUCCUCAUAGGAUCAUCACACCACAUGGCACCAAGCUCUAAACAUAGCAUCAAGACAGAAAAAUGACAUUUCCAGAAAGUGUCCCAAAGUGAAAUCUGAUUCCACCAAUGGAUUCCUGGGAUUAUUCUACCCCAAAAACAUGUAUAAUACCCAGGUACUUGCAUACAACAUGUAGGCACAAAGUUGAAAGGAAAAACAACAUAGAAUCUUAAAGUGCCAAAUAGUGCCAUAUCACAUGUGGUACUCUCUAUUCUUCACCUACACUUGCACUUGCCCACACCCACAACUCCAAUGGUGAACAUGAGGGUUGGACCUCAUGUAUGUGUGCCAUAGCACAUCACCAUACACACUCACACAUGCUUGCAACACAAGGCUCUUGCACACACACCUACAC